rnacentral:rRNA from 1 species
UACAGAGGGGGCAAGCGUUGUUCGGAAUUACUGGGCGUAAAGGGCGCGUAGGCGGCCUUCUAAGUCGAACGUGAAAUCCCCGGGCUCAACCCGGGAACUGCGUCCGAUACUGGAAGGCUUGAAUCCGGGAGAGGGAUGUGGAAUUCCAGGUGUAGCGGUGAAAUGCGUAGAUAUCUGGAGGAACACCGGUGGCGAAAGCGGCUUCCUGGUCCAGAACCGACGUUCAGGCACGAAAGCGUGGGGAGCAAACAGG